CAGCCGCCGCGGGAAUACGUAGGGUGCAAGCGUUAAUCGGAAUUACUGGGCGUAAAGCGUGCGCAGGCGGUUAUAUAAGACAGAUGUGAAAUCCCCGGGCUCAACCUGGGAACUGCAUUUGUGACUGUAUAGCUAGAGUACGGCAGAGGGGGAUGGAAUUCCGCGUGUAGCAGUGAAAUGCGUAGAUAUGCGGAGGAACACCGAUGGCGAAGGCAAUCCCCUGGGCCUGUACUGACGCUCAUGCACGAAAGCGUGGGGAGCAAACAGGAUCAGAUACCCCGGUAGUCCCUGUCUCUUAUAC
rnacentral:rRNA from 1 species